UGUGAAAGCGGAAAUAGCAGUUGGCUUGCGGGUCGAGUCGGUCACCUUGAAUCCGGACGAUGUGCUCCGACUCCGUGUCCGUUGCCUUUGAGAUCUUCACUUCUUCCAGCUUUGUAAAACCUGGUAAUUAAAAUAAUUUAAUAUUUUUGUGUAAUUUAUUUGCUUUGUAAUUUUUUUAAUAUAAAUAAAACUGUAAGUGACGUUUUAGGUGGACAGCAAAAUGAAGAAAGAACGAAGGUAACUAACCGGGAAGAUGAAGGCGUAAAAGGAAGAAUGAGUGGUGAUUGGGCUCCUCAGUUUCCCGCCUGGGUUCAAACGUUUUGACAGAGGGAGGAGGAGGAGGAGGAGGGCGGAAUGGGCGAGGCUGAGGAAGCUGGCGUUGCGGGCGCCUGUAAUUGGUAAAUCCCCCUCGACCACCGAUACCUGAUCUUUGGUUCAUAGCCAUCCUUAAAGUAAUUAGAAAAGGUGUAGCUGGUUCGAAACUGGCUUUAUGAUGAGGUGAAUAUAAGUAGAUUGUGAUGGUUAAUUACAAAGGGUUUAGUGCUAUUUAUAUAUACAUGGUUCAUGCGAGGGAAUUUGCCUUGUGGAUUGAGACUACAUAGAUUUUCUCCUACUUUGGUUGUGUUGGUGGGCGGGGUUUGGUUUGGUUUGGUUUGGUUUGCCCCUUACUCUUCUAUCAGGUAUAUAACUAACCUUGCUUCCACACCAGGGACAUCCAU
rnacentral:lncRNA from 1 species